AUGGCGCUGAAAGGAAAGAAGGAAGCUCCUGCCCCUCCCAAAGAAGCCAAAGCAAAGGCCUUGACAGCUAAGAAGGUAGUGCUAAAAGGCGUCCACAGCACAAAAAGAAGAUCCAAACAUCACCCACCUUCCAGCGGCCCUGCGGCUCCAGAGGCAGCCAAAAUAUCCUCUGAAAGAGUGCACCCAGGAGAAACAAGCUUGACCACUAUGCUCUCAUCAAAUUCCCACUGAACACUGAGUUAGCCAUGAAGAAAAUGGACAACAACACGCUUGUGUUCAUUGUGGAUGUCAAGGCCAACAAGCAUCAGAUCAAACAGGCCAUCAAGAAACUCUAUGACAUUGAUGUGGCCUAAGUCAAUACCCUGAUAAGGCCUGAUGGAGAGAAGAAGGCGUAUGUUCAAUUGGCUUCUAAUUAUGAUGCCCUAGAUGUUGCCAACAAGAUUGAGAUAAUCUAA
rnacentral:lncRNA from 1 species